CGAAGACCUGAUGAAACCCUUGUUUAAUUAACUUUGCUAACAAAGCUUUUCUGGUUAUGUUUGGUUAAAACUGGUAAUCUGGCACCAAGUGGACGUUGUUUCCAAUAAACCUGAUUACCUCUCAGAUAUUACUCCGCCAUUUGAGGACUUGAUGAGCUUCUGUCCUGGGAAAAUUACAUGCAUGUGGCUUUGGAUUGAUGGAUGAAUGCAGAGCCCCGAGGCAACAAUUUCAACUUACAAAAAUGAGGUGGAGUUGCGUCUGCUGAGGCGCAGAGGGCAUCAUGGUACGUUUAUCGACUGGAAGGUGACUUUCUGCAAGCGGCGCUGCUCCCUGCUGACCAGCAGCGCUCUGGGUGCAGGACUCAACGCCCGACGCGCCUCGCUGGGUCUUUCUCCCUCGGCUUGGAAAAAACGGCUCCAUGUUUAGACUUUUUGUUGGCCAUAAACAAAAAACAUUACACUUGGGGUUAAUUGCCCUGAGCUCACCAUCACACCCCCAUCAACUGUUUUUCAUUUACCCAGAACAUUCUGCUGGUCUGUGCACCUUUGGGAAGUUGGGAAAAUUUCACUCCGGUACUUUUGGGAGGUUGUUAAAAUUCCAGGUAAAGUGGUGAUAAAAACUAAAAUAUAUGGAUUUUCAGUGUUUUUUUUUUCAGUUUUAUUGCUGGCAUAUUAUAAAAUGACAUUUAAGAGUUAACAGAGCAUUUCCUCUUGAACAAAUGUUUGAUAUUUUCUUGAACAGGUUUUGUUUUUUCAAAUACUAAGAAGCUGAAAAUAACUCAUUUACAGAAGAG